AGAUUUCCGAAUGGGGCAACCCAAUGUAUACAGAUAUACAUUACCUAUAUAGGAGCGAACGAGGGGAAUUGAAACAUCUUAGUACCCUCAGGAAAAGAAAUCAAUAGAGAUUGCGUCAGUAGCGGCGAGCGAAAGCGCAAGAGGGCAAACCCAGUGCUUGCACUGGGGGUUGUAGGACUGCAAUGUGCAAGAGGUGAGUUUAGCAGAACAUUCUGGAAAGUAUAGCCAUAGAGGGUGAUAGUCCCGUAUGCGAAAAACAAACCUUAGCUAGCAGUAUCCUGAGUAGGGCGGGACACGAGAAAUCCUGUCUGAAGCUGGGUCGACCACGAUCCAACCCUAAAUACUAAUACCAGAUCGAUAGUGCACAAGUACCGUGAGGGAAAGGUGAAAAGAACUGAGGUGAUCAGAGUGAAAUAGAACCUGAAACCAUUUGCUUACAAUCAUUCAGAGCACUAUGUAGCAAUACAGUGUGAUGGACUGCCUUUUGCAUAAUGAGCCUGCGAGUUGUGGUGUCUGGCAAGGUUAAGCAAACGCGAAGCCGUAGCGAAAGCGAGUCUGAAUAGGGCGCUUAGUCAGAUGCUGCAGACCCGAAACGAAGUGAUCUAUCCAUGAGCAAGUUGAAGCUAGUGUAAGAACUAGUGGAGGACUGAACCCAUAGGCGUUGAAAAGCCCCGGGAUGACUUGUGGAUAGGGGUGAAAGGCCAAUCAAACUUCGUGAUAGCUGGUUCUCUCCGAAAUAUAUUUAGGUAUAGCGUUGUGUCGUAAUAUAAGGGGGUAGAGCACUGAAUGGGCUAGGGCAUACACCAAUGUACCAAACCCUAUCAAACUCCGAAUACCUUAUAUGUAAUCACAGCAGUCAGGCGGCGAGUGAUAAAAUCCGUCGUCAAGAGGGAAACAACCCAGACUACCAGCUAAGGUCCCUAAAUCUUACUUAAGUGGAAAACGAUGUGAAGUUACUUAAACAACCAGGAGGUUGGCUUAGAAGCAGCCAUCCUUUAAAGAAAGCGUAAUAGCUCACUGGUCUAGUGAUUUUGCGCGGAAAAUAUAACGGGGCUAAAGUAAGUACCGAAGCUGUAGACUUGACUUUGUCAAGUGGUAGGAGAGCGUUCUAUUUGCGUCGAAGGUAUACCGGUAAGGAGUGCUGGAGCGAAUAGAAGUGAGCAUGCAGGCAUGAGUAGCGAUAAUUAAUGUGAGAAUCAUUAACGCCGUAAACCCAAGGUUUCCUACGCGAUGCUCGUCAUCGUAGGGUUAGUCGGGUCCUAAGUCGAGUCCGAAAGGGGUAGACGAUGGCAAAUUGGUUAAUAUUCCAAUACCAACAUUAGUGUGCGAUGGAAGGACGCUUAGGGCUAAGGGGGCUAGCGGAUGGAAGUGCUAGUCUAAGGUCGUAGGUGCUUAUACAGGCAAAUCCGUAUAAGAAUACACCGAGAACUGAAAGGCUUUUUGAAGUCUUCGGAUGGAUAGAAGAACCCCUGAUGCCGUCGAGCCAAGAAAAGUUUCUAAGUUUAGCUAAUGUUGCCCGUACCGUAAACCGACACAGGUGGGUGGGAUGAGUAUUCUAAGGCGCGUGGAAGAACUCUCUUUAAGGAACUCUGCAAAAUAGCACCGUAUCUUCGGUAUAAGGUGUGGUUCGCUUCGUAUUAGGAUUUACUCCGAAAGCGAAGAAACUUACAACAAAGAGUCCCUCCCGACUGUUUACCAAAAACACAGCACUCUGCUAACUCGUAAGAGGAUGUAUAGGGUGUGACGCCUGCCCGGUGCUCGAAGGUUAAUUGAUGGGGUUAGCAUUAGCGAAGCUCUUGAUCGAAGCCCGAGUAAACGGCGGCCGUAACUAUAACGGUCCUAAGGUAGCGAAAUUCCUUGUCGGUUAAAUACCGACCUGCAUGAAUGGCGUAACGAGAUGGGAGCUGUCUCAAAGAGGGAUCCAGUGAAAUUGUAGUGGAGGUGAAAAUUCCUCCUACCCGCGGCAAGACGGAAAGACCCCGUGGACCUUUACUACAGCUUGACACUGCUAUUUGGAUAAGAAUGUGCAGGAUAGGUGGGAGGCUUUGAGUAUAUGACGCCAGUUGUAUAUGAGCCAUUGUUGAGAUACCACUCUUUCUUAUUUGGGUAGCUAACCAGCUUGAGUUAUCCUCAAGUGGGACAAUGUCUGGUGGGUAGUUUGACUGGGGCGGUCGCCUCCCAAAUAAUAACGGAGGCUUACAAAGGUUGGCUCAGAACGGUUGGAAAUCGUUCGUAGAGUAUAAAGGUAUAAGCCAGCUUAACUGCAAGACAUACAAGUCAAGCAGAGACGAAAGUCGGUCUUAGUGAUCCGGUGGUUCUGUGUGGAAGGGCCAUCGCUCAAAGGAUAAAAGGUACCCCGGGGAUAACAGGCUGAUCUCCCCCAAGAGCUCACAUCGACGGGGAGGUUUGGCACCUCGAUGUCGGCUCAUCGCAUCCUGGGGCUGGAGCAGGUCCCAAGGGUAUGGCUGUUCGCCAUUUAAAGCGGUACGCGAGCUGGGUUCAGAACGUCGUGAGACAGUUCGGUCCCUAUCUGCCGUGGGCGUAAGAAGAUUGAAGAGAUUUGACCCUAGUACGAGAGGACCGGGUUGAACAAACCACUGGUGUAGCUGUUGUUCUGCCAAGAGCAUCGCAGCGUAGCUAAGUUUGGAAAGGAUAAACGCU
rnacentral:rRNA from 1 species